AAUCCCAGGCUGGAUGGCUCCAGGGGGCUCAAGCUGCCAGAAAGGAACACGGCAUAGUGGAAACUAUGGAUGGUAAGAGAGGUUGCACAGCCGUGCUGGAUGCCAAAGAGUUGUGUGCUGUGCAACGGGGAACCAAGGUCACGGAUGAGAGGAGACUCCUCAAGAGAGGUUCCACUUUAAAAAGGAACUCCACUGAUCGAUGUUUUCACUUCCGUAAGGCUCCCAUGUGUCUGGGGAGAUGUUCAGCUUGAAUGGACAGGCGGGGAGGGCAAGAAAGAGCAGCUAGAAGAGGUUCCAAAGAAAGAUUGGGGAAAUGUGUGAAGCAGAGAUAUGAAGAGGAACACGUCACACACUACAAGCUGAAAUCCAAAGGGGGCGGUGAGGAGAGAAGAAAAAGAGAGAGAGAUACAUUGAAGCCUCAUCACAGGAUUGCCCUCUGGAGUCCAGAAGUAAGGAGCUGAAGGUCCAGCUAACCUCCAUCAUGGGUGUUCUCCCAGUUCUCCUCUUCUUCCUCCUCCUGCUCAACUGUGGUUGUCAGAAGGACUUUCUGAAUCAGCUUCAGAGGUGGAACUACAGAGAAGGAGCAGACAAAGUCAACAUCCACGGCAUUAACAGUGUCACUCGUAUGCUGGAGAAAUGGGGGAACAGCAUCUUCUGGCAAAUGAAACACUCCUUACUGAGUCACCCUAACACUCUGCUGCCUGAGUUCUCCAGCCUCCAUCCCAUCUCCGAGGCACUUGAUGACCUUCUGAAGGAAGUACGGUCAAUGAAGAAGAGGCUGGAAGAGCUGAACGAACGACUCAGUGUAAUGAGCAGGGCCUUCUUUCCUACCCGAUUCAAUGCCCUGAGGGGCCAGAGGCUCAGCAGUAUGCCGCUGAGAAGACUCCCUUUUCAGAGGAGGAGGAUGUAUAUCCGCAGGAGAGUUCAGCGGAAUUAGCUCUCUUCCAAAAAAACAACAACAAACAUUUCUAUCUUUCUCUUUUCUGCAAGUCUUUAUCAAUGAGAGACUAUUAGACUGAAUAAAGUAACACAUGUAUGAGUGAGGGUCUGGAUGCCUGAGGAGACUGGCAAUUAUGGGUUAUGGAGCUGCCUUGCAAAUCUAGGUCAUUGGGUCAAAUCCCGUGCAGCUCUGUGAUGAUGGCUGUGUGGUGACCCAUGUGUGAUGAGUUGUUGAUCUCAAUCCAGUUAAGUGUUAGUAUAUUUCCCCUAUACAGUCGUUCCCACAUUUCCUUUGGAUUGCCAACUAUAUCCCUUCUAUACAGAUCAGAUGCCUUUUUCUCCUUAUCCUACUUCACAGAGAACUAUGGACUCAGGGGUUGGGGGAUCACGUAUACAGAUGGACACUUAGGCCAAAAUUUUCAAAUGUUAGGCACCUAACUUCACAUUUAGGUACCAAAAUAAAAGUGAUUUGAUUUUCAAUGUGCUAAGCAUUUGACUUCAGGGAGAAUUGUGCUUGCUUAGCUCCACU